GAGCCCGUAGCGUAGAGGCUAUCGCGUGUGAUUCCAGAGCCGGUAUCCACAAGGUCAUCCGUUCGACUCGGGUCGGGCUCA